rnacentral:rRNA from 1 species
CCCCAUGAACUUAAGAGGAAAAAAGAAGACAAUUAUUAUAAAUGUGCAUGCAAGCUAAACAGCAAACAAGUGAAAAAAUACUGUUCCACUAUCAAAAAAAAAUAAAGAACAAUACAAUAAGAGAAACACUAAUACACGUCUACAAGACCACUUCACAAAUACAACACAAAACAUUGUGCAAUAUGCAAACACACAACACAGUAUUAAUCAACACAUAAACAAGAACAAGCCAAAAAUGUGCCAGCAGCCGCGGUUAAACAUUUUGUCCUAGUCUUAAAAACUUCUCUGUAACAGGGAGACUCUAAUACAACACCAGGAACACAAAAUAAAAUACAGCAGUAGAAUGCCUAAAUAAAAACAUAGCCCACCAGAAAACUUCCUGGCACACACAGCCCAUACACGAAAGCAUAGAUAACGAAAAGGAUUAGAUACCCUUGUAGCCUAUGCCCUAAAUAAAAAAAAGUAUGCUCGCAAGACAGAAACUUAAUAAGUUUGAGAGAGAGUAGAAAACACUCAGAGGAGUGNGUGUGUUAAUUCGAAACUACACGAAAACCUUACCUCAUUAAACAAGCAAAACAUAACCGUACACCGUCUUCAUAAGAAUAAAAUACAAAAUACAAAAAUAUCAAUCACAAAGAUAACAAAUAACAAGAAGAAAACCGGUCAACACUUUCUUUAUAAUAAGGGCUCACAAGCACUACAAACUACUACACAACAAACAAUAGUCCCUCCUAAUGAAAAAAAGAAAGGAGAAUUUGAAAGUAAUUAUUUCUAACAAAAAAAUAAUGAAAAAAACAAAAACACUGCUACAUACCGCCCGUCAAUUCUUAAAAAACACAGGUAAAAAUAAGAAACAAAUAAAUCACACAUAACAGUAACAAACAGAAUACCUCCACAAUUAAGAAUAAGUCGUAACAAGGUAGCCGUAUCCGAAGAUGCGGCUAACAACAA